GAAAUGCGAUAAGUAGUGUGAAUUGCAGAAUUCAGUGAAUCAUCGAAUCUUUGAACGCACAUUGCGCCCUUUGGUAUUCCUUAGGGCAUGCCUGUUCGAGCGUCAUUUGUAACCUCAAGCUCAGCUUGGUGUUGGGUGUCUGUCCCCGCCCCGCGCGGGGACUCGCCUCAAAAACAUUGGCGGCCGGUACGUUGGCUUCGAGCGCAGCAGAAACGCGAACUCGAGGCCCGACGGAUCGGCGACCAGAAGUCACUUCUUCCACAGCUUGACCUCGGAUCAGGUAGGGACACCCGCUGAACUUAAGC
rnacentral:misc_RNA from 1 species